AUUGAACGCUGGCGGCAUGCCUUACACAUGCAAGUCGAACGGUAACGCGGGGCAACCUGGCGACGAGUGGCGAACGGGUGAGUAAAGCAUCGGAACGUGCCCAGUAGUGGGGGAUAGCACGGCGAAAGCCGGAUUAAUACCGCAUACGACCUAUGGGUGAAAGGGGGGGAUCGCAAGACCUCUCGCUAUUGGAGCGGCCGAUGUCAGAUUAGGUAGUUGGUGGGGUAAAGGCCUACCAAGCCGACGAUCUGUAGCUGGUCUGAGAGGACGACCCGCCGAGCUGGGACUGAGACCCGGCCCGAAUUGCUAGGGGAGGCAGCAGUGGGGAAUUUUGGAGAAGGGGCGCAAGCUUGAACCAGCCAUGCCGCGUGCUGGAAGAAGGCCGUCGGGUUGUAAACCGCUUUUGUCAGGGAAGAAAUCCUUUGGGUUAAUACCUCGGGGGGAUGACGGUACCUGAAGAAUAAGCACCGGCUAACUACGUGCCAGCAGCCGCCGCCGUAA
rnacentral:rRNA from 1 species